GUUGUUCAAAAUCCUUGAAGGAACAGUCUCUUUGUCUCCCGCCCUUAUACUUCUGAUGAGAGCAAUGCAGUUAUUUCACAAAGUAGACACUACAAAGGAUCUGUGACUUGUCCCGGGUCUGUUCACAAGACUGAGACACUAUAAAAUAUAAAGCUAGCUGUCUUUAGGAACACUCUGUAGAGACUGCUUGUGGUCUAUCCUAUAUCCAUUCUUCUCUGCUUCCUGUGUUGUCAAAAAUCUCUGAGUUGUCAAGGGCAGCAAUAUGUACCCUUUAAAACACUGUAUUUUUCCAGGCCCCUUUACAGGUAGGGUGGCCAAUGAAAAAUGUAGGCAGAAAGGGUUAGUUGGGGAUUCUAGGAAGGCUCUUUAAAGGUGUCUAAAAUCUAGGACACUUAACCUUUUGUGCCCCUCUCCACCCUUCCCCAACUUCCUUCUUUCCUCAUGUACGGAAUGCAGAAGUGAUGGCUGGAGCUCCAGCAGCCUUCAUAAAACCAAGAGACAACUUUGAGGAAAGAAGCCAUUGCCAGUGAAGGCAGGGGAGAGAGUUGAAUGAACUGGCUGCCCAUUGACCUUCGCCUGGGACAGCCUGCUUCCUAUGUUUUUCUGUGUGAGAGAAAGUAAACCUGACUGUUGCUGGAGCCACUGCCAUUCUGUAAUGAUUUCCUCUAUAUCUAGCUGGACUGAUAGAAACCCAUGCAUCCCUUUCACACUCUAAAUAUGAUUUGUCCAGGGAGAAGAGCUAAAACGAUACAUUUCUGCCAUCAUUAAAAAUACCAAUAUUUUAACUGUGAUAAAUUGUUGAAAGGACAGGGUGAAGGUCAGGGCUAAAACCCCUGAAGCAGAAGCCCUCUUUGUUCAGGGUAAUCAAUCCUGAAAGCAAAAGAUAAGCAGGAUAAACAGCAAUGGAUAUGACCUGCCAUCACCAUUAGCUUCUCCAAUUUUACAAGAUGCAAUAAAACCAGGUUUUUUUUUUUUUAAUCAGAAGAAUCCUCUGAGACCAGCCAAGCCUCCCACCCUCUCCUCCUUCCUGCCGGCCCACCUUCCUUCUGAUCCAUUGUUGACUUCUCCUCGGCCGAGCUCUGUGGUCUAAACAGAACCCUCCUGCCCCUGUGGGGAACCCAACCCCUGCCCUGCACACCACAACACCACCUCGCCCAUGGCACUGUGUGCAGAGAGGGUCCCCUGCUUACAGCACACAAGGCAGCUGGAGGAAAACACGCCCCACAAAGCAGCCCCAUUACAACUGACCCACAUAAUACAGCCCAAACUCAGCAUGCAAAGCCUAUACUCUCAGAAAGGAGAUGUGGAAAAGACGUGACGCCUUCCUCUGACGGGGACUCCCAGAGUAGGCAGGCUAAGCAAAAGCACACAUUUGGUGCUCCUCUCGGAAGCCUGUAGAGUGAGUGUGGAGAGCUGCUUCAGAGGCACCCCAUGAUUUCGAAUAUCUUCGGAAUUGGCAAGAAAGGCCACGUUAUGUUCACGCUGGGUUUAGUUUUAAGUGUAACUUACUUAAUAUUUUCAAUAUGAGUCAGCUCCCUAUAAUGUGAUAAUUUUCAAAUAACCAGAAGUUGACUGUCGCAGGCUUUAGACAGGCAGCAUGAGUACAGAAUCCAGCUGCUUCCACCCUGGGGACAGAUCUGAGGACGGUGGUCCUGGAUUUUCUGGCCUGUGGCCUUAGUGUGCUGGAUUACACGCAGAACCCUCCUGGCGCCCUGCUGCUCCUGACUCUCCUCCAGAUGUGGGUGAGGGACUCCCCUGCCACCGAUACACUCCUCGGAGCAGCUACUCUGCCUCAUACAUCUGCCUGGGAAUCCUGGACCUCAAACUUCAAGAGUAUCCCAGAUUUGAAUAUUAAAGUGCCAAGGAAUGAAGAGAAGGUGAUUUCAUCUGCUGAUUACCUAACUGACUAGCAACGCCAGUGUCUGCUCUGAACAUUCAUCUUAUUAGUAGGGAGAGAACACGUAUUAACCAAGAGAGCAGUGGCUGGUUAGCGUUUCUUUUAUCAGGUGCUCUUAAAGCUGAAGGGAAAGUAUUGAGAUCUUGGUACCAUGCAUAUUUUCAUAUGAAGUUUAUUUUUUUAUGAUUAUAAAAGUGAUAAAUGCUGCCUGGUAAUCAUCUAGAAAAUACAGAAGAGCAGAGACCAUUAACCCCACAAAUGCCAAGCACAGUUGACAUUUGGGUGCAUUUCCUUCUGCUGGCUUGUGCUCCAUGUUUCCCGCCUUGUCUCUGUUUAUGCAGCUGUACUUGCGCUUAUACAUCAUUUCCCCCCCUGCUUUAUUUCACUUUCCAUUCCAAUGUGAGCAUUUGCCCCUGUUGCUAAAACUCCCCAGUGCCCAGCCAGAGUGGAGGCCUAUUCGCAUGGUGGAACUGCCAGGGUCUGUGGCUAUUCCAUCUUCUACACAAAGGUGCUUUCCCUCCAAGUUGCAGCUGUUCCUCAGCUACUGAACAGGAACCAGAACUAAGACAGUCACGCAGGGAAGGACAUGCCCAGACUUGCUCAGGGUUCCAACUAUACCAGAAGGUAUUUCCUGCAGAACACACGCUGGCUUUGAACCCACGAGGCAGCCCCAGGGAAAAAAUCCAGACACAAAAGAAGUAAACUCUGCUGCGGUGAGAUGGUGGGACUGCUCACUUUAAACCUCCAGAAGAGAAAAGAGACAUCCUAACUCACAGUCACGUGCUGGUGAAGGGUGCCCAGCAAGUGCCCGCCUGCCUGGACCCCACAGUAAGCACUGUUGAGGUUGCCGGGAUCCUGGGGAUUUAGACGAGAGGAGCUGACAUGCAUGGUGAGCGGCCCCCAGCAUGGACCCCAGAGUGGACUCUCAGCCGACUCCCUGUGUCCCAUCAGCUUUGAAACAAAACAUCUUUUCUGCACAAGUGCAGCAAUGUGAGGACAGCCUGGACAGACUUGUUCACUUCUGUGUCCCCAGCAUCUAGCAUAUCCCGUGCCAGCACGUGUUGUAGCGUUCAAUAGUAUUUACUGAAUAAGGACUCUACAAACUCCCUUAAAUAUUGGCCACUAGAACUCAAUCUGAGUUCAUGAGCAUUUUCUCAGUAAACAGCCAGUGCCUCAGGGGAUUGUAGCAGCUUAGCAGUCACUCUUCCUGGGUAUGGGUCAGCCUGCACAGCCUGGUGGCCCUUCACUGACCUGCUCCCCCUGGGGAGGUGGACAUCACGCUGAGGGAUGAAGAAGCAAGUGACCAUUGAUGAACUUCCCUAUUUCAAAAUUUUGCUUGCACAUAUCUGUCUUCUUCAGACCUCUUCUUCAUUUCUUAUUAUUUUAUCUGCCUCUAAUUUCCAAGACCGAGGACUGAAGUUAGUCUUAUUAUUGCUAAAAGUAAGUCAUGCUAAGAGUUAAACCUAUCUUCAGUGGGCAAACCUGUAUACAAUUUAUAUCAUUUCAGUUUUGGGAAAAUGCAAUGACAGCUGUGACUGUAAAAGGAUACUUUGGACCACAUGUACUCUCAUAAGUCAGGUGUUGCUUGUAGAACUGUAUAGGCAUUUGGACCAGUCAAGAGUUUGUUCUGGA